rnacentral:rRNA from 1 species
CGCGGCCUAUCAGCUUGUUGGUGAGGUAAUGGCUCACCAAGGCGUCGACGGGUAGCCGGCCUGAGAGGGUGACCGGCCACACUGGGACUGAGACACGGCCCAGACUCCUACGGGAGGCAGCAGUGGGGAAUAUUGCACAAUGGGCGCAAGCCUGAUGCAGCAACGCCGCGUGAGGGAUGACGGCCUUCGGGUUGUAAACCUCUUUUAGUAGGGAAGAAGCGAAAGUGACGGUACCUGCAGAAAAAGCGCCGGCUAACUACGUGCCAGCAGCCGCGGUAAUACGUAGGGCGCAAGCGUUAUCCGGAAUUAUUGGGCGUAAAGAGCUCGUAGGCGGUUUGUCGCGUCUGCUGUGAAAUCUGGGGGCUCAACCCCCAGCCUGCAGUGGGUACGGGCAGACUAGAGUGCGGUAGGGGAGAUUGGAAUUCCUGGUGUAGCGGUGGAAUGCGCAGAUAUCAGGAGGAACACCGAUGGCGAAGGCAGAUCUCUGGGCCGUAACUGACGCUGAGGAGCGAAAGGGUGGGGAGCAAACAGGCUUAGAUACCCUGGUAGUCCACCCCGUAAACGUUGGGAACUAGUUGUGGGGUCCAUUCCACGGAUUCCGUGACGCAGCUAACGCAUUAAGUUCCCCGCCUGGGGAGUACGG